rnacentral:rRNA from 1 species
CCUACGGGAGGCAGCAGUGGGGAAUAUUGCACAAUGGGGGAAACCCUGAUGCAGCGACGCCGCGUGAGUGAAGAAGUAUUUCGGUAUGUAAAGCCCUAUCAGCAGGGAAGAACAAUGACGGUACCUGACUAAUAAGCACCGGCUAAAUACGUGCCAGCAGCCGCGGUAAUACGUAUGGUGCAAGCGUUAUCCGGAUUUACUGGGUGUAAAGGGAGCGCAGGCGGCGCGUUAAGCCUGGUGUGAAAGUCCGCGGCCCAACCGCGGGACUGCAUUGGGAACUGGCGCGCUGGAGUGCCGGAGGGGUAGGCGGAAUUCCUAGUGUAGCGGUGAAAUGCGUAGAUAUUAGGAGGAACACCAGUGGCGAAGGCGGCCUACUGGACGGUGACUGACGCUGAGGCUCGAAAGCGUGGGGAGCAAACAGGAUUAGAUACCCGGGUAGUC